UACUGAUUUUGAAAUUGAACUUCGAAUCAGAAAAUAAGCAUACAAUUGUUGUUGCAGAACUUUGCUUCUUGUUGUUGUAUACAAUCUGAGGAAGGACUUGGUGCAUCAUGGAGAAUAUGAGUGCUUGCUGAACACCGUGGAAGCAUGUGUCAUUGAUGCAUGGCCUCAGUUGAAAACAAGGUUCAAUAAUAAGGAGAAUGUGAAUGGAUCAAAUGCAAGGAAGGAGAACCCUUUGAUUAUAUGGAACAAUGGUCCUAAUUUUGUUGGAUAUGAAGCCCCAAACCUUGAUGAUCGGGAAUAAGUCACUGUGAUUAUUAAGAAUGAUGAAGCUGCUGUUGAUGAGGGGCCUGAAGAGAUAGAUAACUACUAUGGUCAAGAUAAGGAUCUAAUUUCAUUAUGGACUCAACCAUUAGAAUGUGCAUUAGGACAGCUUCUGUGGCAGUUACAACUUGGUGAGCAUUUCUAUUUUCAAAGCUAAAAAGAAUGGCAACAAUGUUGAACACAUCAUUGUGUAUUUAUCAAAGCAGGUUCUGAUCAUUUUCUUAUUAUGGAGUACAAUGCUUCCUAUGUGUGCCACUCUUUGUUUGCAUACUUUGACAGAGAUGACAUUGCUCUCAAGGGAUUUGCAAAUUGCAGGUUCUUUAAGGAAUCAAGUGAAGAAAAAAGAGAGCAUGCUGAGAAGCUUAUGAAGUAUCAGGUUGGUGUUGGAACUCUUGGCUUUAAGGAUGAUUAUGUUAUGUUAUGUGUGUUAUGUUUUAAAUACCUUAGUGGUCAAAAUUUUAUUGAAAGAUCUUUAGGAAAAGGGAGAGAAAUGAUUAUUAUCUAACAAAAAGUAAUUGACGUUGUAUAGCCAUAUAUCCAAAUCAUUUUCCUAAUGCUCAAUUAAUUAAUUAAGAUCACAUACUUAGUGCCUUGAAUGAAUUGUUUGAGUUUGCUAGUGUUGUUGGUUACUACUUGGCUCUUAUGAUAUAUGUAUAA